rnacentral:rRNA from 1 species
UAGGGGUGAAAGGCCAAUCAAACUCCGUGAUAGCUGGUUCUCCCCGAAAUGCAUUUAGGUGCAGCGUCGCGUGUUUCUUGCCGGAGGUAGAGCACUGGAUAGUCUAGGGGGCCUACCAGCUUACCGAAAUUAGCCAAACUCCGAAUGCCGGCAAGUGAGAGCGCGGCAGUGAGACAGUGGGGGAUAAGCUUCAUUGUCGAGAGGGAAACAGCCCA